AAACGUGUACCUUUAACAUUUGUUGUAGCUCGACACUUUUCCCCAGCCUCAUUAUUGUGCAGCAGUCCUUUCACCUCGCAUGAAAGCUAAACUGCUUGGUGUCCUAACGAUGGCAUAACUUUUUUUUGGCUCGGGCCUGUAUCUGGUGCUCUGGUUUGGCUCGGGCCAGGCCUGUUUUUGGUCGUAUCUUGGAGGAAUGUCUCACUGGGGAGCCUCGCCAGGCAGCAGCCGUCUGCUCAAGCACUCAACACCCAGGGCAGUCACCAUGGCUCCUUGUUAUCUUUCCUUUAAGACGACCAGUCAGACUCCUCGCCCUUGCCUGGGGCUGGGUUGGGGGAGUUGUUUUGGCCAGAGAGCCGGAUACGGACCAACAUACAAUGCACUCAUGCACUUAGUGCCUUCACACACACGUGCCAGACCCGCACAGACAGGACCCGGCGGGCUUACAGGGAUUGGUGGUGUACAGUAAAUGCCUGCUCUAUAGUGGUCAGUGGCUGCGGGUCGACAAAGCUCUGCUCAGCCUGUGAUUGUAAUGUGAUUAAGGGCUGAUUAUGAUGUGAUUAGGCUGGCCUGUAUGGGCCCCUGGCCGGAGGCCCCCGGCUCUGCUGACUCGUGCAAUUUCUCUUCUACGCUUCACCACACCUGUCAGAAUCACUCCCAUUCAACCGAAUAGCUUCCAUUAUCUACGGUGGCAUGUCUGGCCCGACCUGUAAACAGCCCAGAAAGGCCUUUCCACCAUUAAGCCGGGUGCAAACCCAUCAUACAGGCUGGGAUGGACAACAAAAUGCUAUUGCUAGGGAAAACCCUAGCGCCUAAUCGUUAACCUGGGGAAAUGGCAGCCAAGUGUUAAACCAGCGAGUGUAUGGGAGAAGGCCCAUAGCAUUUGGUGUCCUGAUAACCUUUAACGCCCAGAUCGCCUCGAGGUCGUUGUGUUGUGGUUGGUGUUUCAAAAAACCCAUGCACUGUUUUGUGUUUGCAUAUCAUGGAAACAAGCUUCUGGGUAUCAGAAGGGCUUUGUUUGGAUGAGGGACUCGCCUAUAGGGUGCUAUCGAGGCAUUGUAAUGUAUGCAAGCAGUGUUUUGUUCAUUGUAAUGAUUAUAGAAGUGUUUUUGUUUUUUCAUUAUGUAUACAAGCAGUGUCGAGUUCCUUUCCAGUGGGUUAGUGAAAAAUGUGUAAGUUGUUAGUCUGAAGCUAUGUUCCUAUUGGAGGGUAGUGGGGGAGUGAAAGAUGUGGGGGAGGGCAGUUCAGAAGGGACAACAUGUUCCAUUUAGCCGAUGGGGGGAGUGGGUAAAAGCAUGGCGAGUAAAGUAGCCCAUUUUGCCCUGCUACUCUGCAUUACUAAAUGCAUGCGUGUAUCUAUAUGUGGCUAUUUCAUGUCUGUUUUCCUUCUGGAGGCUGUUUGCAUACUUUGUGUUAUCUACUAUGGAUAAAGGAUAAAACUCUUUCAUAAAACCCUAGCUUGGUACUAUUAUUACUCAUUAUGAGCGUAGGCUGCACCGGACAGGGCACACUUUGUAUUGGGUUUUAUUGCUGUAUUUUAAUUGCGCCUGUAGCCAGAGGUUGUUUGUUGUAAAGCAAUGGCUAGUGAAUUGUCUUUGAUAGAUGCAUCAUUUUCAUAUUUUUGCGGAUGUGUGCAAGUGGCCGAAAUGUAAAUGGUUUGUGUAAUCGGAAAUUAGCGGCUAUUUUAAUCAAUGAUUGGAGUGGUCUGAAAAAGUCCAGCAGCUGUUCUAUAUGCCCUCUCCAAACAUGGCUUGUUUCUGCAAAGGAUGUGCUGCUAUGGGUAAAAAUGUGUGGAACCAUCUCAGCAGAAUGAAAGGUCAGCACUGUGAAGGCAAAUGGCACGCAGCUCCUAUGCACUCUGCAACGGGAACAUAAUGUCCUAUUGGCUGUGUGAGCUCCAUGGACCACACUGCCCUCCGCACUUGCACCCGCUCGCAAGAAUGUGACAUGAACAGGCACAUGCAUGCAUGCUGCAUGAUCUAGUGCGUCAAGCAGGGAAUGGAACCCCAAACCUCUGCACUCCCUAACCUUGAAAUGGAUGUUGUUGAGGAGCUCAUGUCUCCAUUACCAGUCAGAAAUUCCUCUUCCUCCUCCUCUUCACACCUCCCCCCCCCAUCAAUCUCAGCACCCCUCCCCCUCUGCCCUCCCUGGUGCUGUAUAUGCCUUACUGUUCUGCCUCCAUAUGUACCAGGAACGCCCCCCCCCCCACUCCCUCGCAUAUCAUUUCAAAGACGCUAUAUAGCGCUCACAUGCCAAGUCGUGAAAAGCCUUCGCACAGCUGCCGUCCGACGCUAAACAGUCGGGGUAGGGAACCUUGGAGUUUUGGAGCUGGUUCUGAGCGUGGCACAUUUCUUUGACACGCGCUCUCGCUUACUUUGCUUGCCCCUACACUCGGGAGUAGUUACAUAUUCAGUGGGUGGAAGUGGGCGGGGCCCACUGUUGCUUGCAGUUAACUUAGCGCUGCGCAGCCAGUGGUUUGGGUCAGUCGCCUCUCCGCCGCUAUCUCAACAGAGGGUUUCUAAAUGGGGCAGAUAUUGAGCAGGCUCCGGGUUCCUACCCCCCCACCUCUGGAUACCAGCGCUGCUGCGGAGACCCAGUUCCUCGCCGGCCAAACAGAAGCUGCAGAGAUCAAGAAACUGCAGGAGUCUGCUUUGAUUCUGCCAGGGCAGAAGAUUGUAUUUCCAGCUUCUCUGAUCACGCCAGUGAGAGAAGUGAAGCCUGUGGUCUUGGUCAAAGAACAUGUCAAUGUUCCCAAAGCUGCCAAGGUUGCCAAACCCCGAAAGCCAGUGCAAGCAGAUGUUAUUGAUGGGAUCAGCGCAAAGGCACCAAAGGCCAAACCUGCAGCAGCUGUGGUGGCAGCCGUAGUCGCCGAAGCCAUAGCCCCAGCAGAGAAGGCAGUUUGCAAACCUGUGCAGGCACCAGUUGCUGAAACCAAAGUAGCAGCUGAAGUAACGGCAGAGGUGGCUGUUGCAGUCCCAGUGGUAGUGGCUGAAGUACCGGAGGAAGCGGCUGAAGUAACUGCGGUGGAGGCUGUUGCUGCACCAGUGGUGGCAGAGGAGGCGGUUCAAGUGGUAGCAGAAGAGGUUGUCGACGUACCGGUUGUAGCAGCUGAAGUAACGGCAGAGGAGGAUGUUGUAGCAGCUGAAGUAACGGCAGAGGAGGAUGUUGCCGCACCAGUGGUAGCAGAGGAGGAUGUUGCCGCACCAGUGGUAGCAGAGGAGGCUGUUGCCGCACCAGUGGUAGCAGAGGAGGCUGUUGCCGCACCAGUGGUAGCAGAGGAGGCUGUUGCCGCACCAGUGGUAGCAGAGGAGGCUGUUGCCGCACCAGUGGUAGCAGAGGAGGCUGUUGCCGCACCAGUGGUAGCAGAGGAUGCUGUUGUAGCAGCUGAAGUAACGGCAGAGGAGAUUGUGGUAGCAGCAGCAGAGGAGGCUGUGGCUGUACCAGUGUUGGCCGCUGAAACCGAAGCCACACCAGAACCCAUAGCAGUAGCAGAUCCAGUAGUGGUGGAGGCUGUGGUCGCUGAAACCGAAGCAACACCAGAACCAGCAGCAGAGGAGGCAGUUACUGAAAUUGAAGUCCUACCUGAGCCAGCCACAGUGGAGGAGGCGGUUGUCGAUGCCGCAGUCACCGAAACCGAAGUCCUACCAGCAGCAGUGGCGGAGGCAGUUAUCGAUACAGUGAUUGUUGCAGUUACCGAAACAGAGGUCCUACCCGAAGCACCAGCAGAAGCAGUGGAGGAGGCGGUUAUCGAUGCUGUGUGUGCCGCAGUUUCCGAAAUCGAAGUCUUGCCAGCAGCAGUGGAGGGGGUGGUUAUCGAUACCGUGAUUGCCGCGGUUACAGAAACCGAAGUCACACCAGAAACGGCAGCCGUGGAGGAUGUUAGUGAAACAGUCUCAGCCGUGGCAACAGAAACCGAAGUCGUAGCGGAAACCACAGUGGAAGCAGAGUCGGGAGUUGAGGCUUCUUUGGAAAUUGAAGCUGUUGUUGAGGAGGUGGCUGUAGCGUGCGAAAGUGAGCCAUCCGUGGUGGCUGAAGUGCAGGUUGAAGAGAAGAGCGUCGAGGAGGUGGUGGUGUUGACUGAACAAGUUGUCACAAUAGAUGAAAACACAGAGAGCACACUAGAGGUAUUGGCAGAAGACCUCUGUCACCUCGAGCAGAAGGCUUUCAUCGAAGAGCCUUGUCUGACAGAGCUUCCAACAAAGACCAUGACAAUGGAGAUUUCCCCACUGGAAGGCCUGGUUUCUGCUCAGACUCCGGUUGAUUUACAUUGAGAACUCGGGCCACGUUGAGAUCUGCAUGUGAUGCGAUGCAGAUUAAAUUGACGGGACGGAAGACUCUAUCCAGGGGCUGAGCAGUCACACUCUACCCUAUCCAUUUAUCAAAGGGUUUAAACACAGAACUUUCAAACAAUAAUCACACUAAAGUGCCUUCUUAUAAAGUAACAUGAAGUUCUCCAAGGAAUCGACUCGUCUUCGGCCCUGUCGGGUAUAAUCUGGACCAACGGGUAUCUUUAAAGGAUGCACAUGGGUUGCGGGGGUUGAUUAGGAUACAUAUGGCUUUGUUAGGGUACAUGUGGGGUAGAACACAUAGAAGGUCCGAUACAUGGUCACACCCGAGGCUCGUUGCCACGGAGACAGUGUUCACUGUUGAAGAUGCUAUACCAGCAAGGCGCAUCAAUCAAGUCCAUUUUUUCCUCGUUUUUAUUCCCCGUUUUUUUUUCUUUCACCUUUUCUAUACUGUGUUUUAUAUAAUCCAUACAAUGUGCUUUAGCAAAGCCCAGAAAAAGUGAUGGGGUUUUGUUGGUUGGGACAGAAGAACUUUCAUCUUUAUGAAAUAAAUGAAGCUGUAACUCAACUGAAUAAAGAUUACAAAUGUGAUAUUGAUAAUGUUAUUUCUUUGGUUUUGCUGGUUGCGGUACCUUCAUUUUGAUUACUAAAUCAGGGGGAGAGAAGGUAGAGCAGGCAAGCUGGGGAUCUGGAGAGUUACUGUAAAGAUGCUCUUUGAUUAUUCACUGCCUAAAAUGUUGGUGUCCAACUGACACAAGACCUCACCUACAUACAAACACAGUGGCCUCUUGCUAUAUGCUGAUCAACGUACACAAGGUGGUUUGUUAAGGGAAAAUCCAACAUUGGGACAAUUGUGUAACCCUGCCCUUGUUCCUAAUUGCCUACAUAUUGUGGUCGGCCAAUGUGCACCGUGUACAUCAGAAUUGUCCAAUAGCGAUCGGUGGACUACUCGGGUGUAAACAUUUCGCAUGGGCGAGGAAGGUUACUUUGGCACUUCAGACCUGAGCAUAAUAUUAACGACCCUGAACCAUAUAUAAUAGGUUAUUAAUCAAAAGUAGGCGGCGAAGGGCAAUAAAAGCUUGGGUAUGACACAAUUACAAUAAUAGUUAAAUGUAGGUAUACGUGUGUAUUUAUUCAUAUUGCAGAAUGUGAUUUCAAAUCCUAUGCAUAAGCUGUUGGUGCAGUGACAUGAAUGCAUUGUGAAUGACAGACUGCAGAGUAGAAGUCCAAGGGGCAGGCUUUGUUUUGGAGUCCCACUGCCAAGGGGAAGAAACCGUUCAGGAGGAUCAAUGUUUUUGUAUUACGGAUCAGAACCUUUCUCCUAGAUGGAAGAGGUGGUGACCGGGAUGGGAAGGAUCAGCCAAGAUGUUUCCUGCUCCUCCUGGUCCAGGGAGAGGUGGCAGCUGGUGUGUGUGUGUGUGUGUGUGUCACAGGCUGACCCUGUGAUCUGCUCCAGACUGCCCUGUCUAUCCAUUGCGGUGGAGGCAAUCAGACUUUGAUAAUGAGCUGAGGAUGUAAUCCGUGAUGGCCGUGUGGAACUAGACCAUGGUUUCCUGGGGCAUCAGGUCGAAUUUAUAGCCAGAACACCUUCCUAACCUGAGCAUUCUUGAUGGUAGAGGUGAUGGAUAAGGUCCUCUAGGGAUUGAUGGGCCCAGUUGGUCAAAAAUAAUCUGCUCAGAUUAUGGCGGAUUGGAUGAAAUCUUGAAAUGGGUUGUUUAAAAGAAUGAAUAUAUAUUCUGAAAUAAAAACUUUGCAUAUUGUAUUAGUAAAAAGUACAUUAGUAGAGUACAAAGAUUUAUUUAUCAUUUACAAGUGUAAAACAGUACAUUAGGCUGCCAAUUGUGCCUUUCAAUACAAUCAAGACUGUCCUAAAAAUGAAGCCUUCAAUUAGCUGUCAAUAUCAAAGAUAAACAAUCUUUUAUAAAAUCAUUUGUUAUUAAUGUAUGGUAAAUAUAUGAGAUGAAUCAGUAAAUAAGUAGUUUGUUAGGUGAGUGCUGCAUGCAGCGAACAACCAUUCUUAUGUUUUAUUUAGGGCUUGGCAACAAUUAAAAGUUUUAAUUGCAAUUAAUCACAUAGUAUGUUGAGUUAACUCGCGAUUAAUCACAUUUUAAAUCAACCAAUUUAAAUCAGAUUAUCGAAAACUAGGCUAAUAGAUCUUGAAGGAGUUUUAUUGACCCUCAGUGUGGG
ensembl:lncRNA